rnacentral:rRNA from 1 species
GAUGAACGCUGGCGGCGUGCCUAAUACAUGCAAGUCGAGCGAACAGACGAGGAGCUUGCUCCUCUGACGUUAGCGGCGGACGGGUGAGUAACACGUGGAUAACCUACCUAUAAGACUGGGAUAACUUCGGGAAACCGGAGCUAAUACCGGAUAAUAUAUUGAAUCGCAUGGUUCAAUAGUGAAAGACGGUUUUGCUGUCACUUAUAGAUGGAUCCGCGCCGCAUUAGCUAGUUGGUAAGGUAACGGCUUACCAAGGCAACGAUGCGUAGCCGACCUGAGAGCGUGAUCGGCCACCCUGGAUCUGAGACACGGUCCAGACUCCUACGGUGGGCAGCAGUAGGGAAUCUUCCGCAAUGGACGAAAGCCUGACGGAGCAACGCCGCGUGAGUGAUGAAGCUCUUCGGAUCGUAAAGCUCUGUUAUUCGGGAAGAACAAAUGUGUAAGUAACUAUGCACGUCUUGACGGUACCUAAUCAGAAAGCCACGGCUAACUACGUG